CCGCACGAUCUCUCCCGGGCUUCUCUGAUCAAUUUCAUGACGAAGGAAGCCCCAAAGCUUGUGCUACAACCCAUGCCGUCUGUGUUGCAGAUUAGCAGAUGGAGUGUUCUCGUAGAUGGUACUGAGAAAGCAGCAUCA